rnacentral:rRNA from 1 species
GAUGAACGCUGGCGGUCUGCUUAACACAUGCAAGUCGAACGGAAGUAGCAAUACUUUAGUGGCGGACAGGUGAGUAACACGUAAGAAUCUGCCUCCAGGACGGGAAAAACAGUUGGAAACGACUGCUAAUUCCGGAUGAGCCGAAAGGUAAAAAGAAAUUCGCCUGGAGAUGAGCUUGCGGCUGAUUAGCUAGUUGGUAGGGUAAGAGCCUACCAAGGCGACGAUCAGUAGCUGGUCUGAGAGGAUGAGCAGCCACACUAGGACUGAGACACGGCCCAGACUCCUACGGGAGGCAGCAGUGGGGAAUUUUCCGCAAUGGGCGAAAGCCUGACGGAGCAAGACCGCGUGGGGGAGGAAGGUUCUUGGAUUGUCAACCCCUUUUCUCAGGGAAGAAGAUCUGACGGUACCUGAGGAAUCAGCAUCGGCUAACUCCGUGCCAGCAGCCGCCGUAACAC